UCUUCAUUAUCUUUAUUAAUUUAGAAAAGAGUCUAAAAAUGGGAACAGUUUUCUGUUUUUAAAAGAGAGAUGAAAAAUAAAAAAUAUAAUAAUAAAAAGAGAUGAGAAUUACAGAUUCUCAGUGCUUUGGCGUCAGGCCUACCUGGAAUCAGACUCUGCAGCCUCUGCCAAAUAUAACAUAUGUGACCCUUGGUAUGAUAAUUCAUUUUUUAGUGUGUGUAAGGAAUACAUGGGAUAAUAUAUAUAUAAAGUUAAUUACUCCACAGUGGCUGAUAUAUCUUCCCAUUCAUGACAUAGAGGAAAAAAAGAAUGGGCUUUGGAGCUACAACUAAAUUACACCAUGUUGUUUCUGAAAGAAGAGAUCUGCGUUCAGUGAGAGUUGCUAAAUGUGCACAUAAGGAGAGUGGCCUAGUUUGUGAGUUUAAUCAGGGCCAGCCCGCUUAAUGAUUAAACAUGUUAUUAAGUAGAACUAAUUUUUAUUUUUUUUAACUGGGGUGAAUGUUAAAGACUUGGUUGUUUUAGAUUACAUGGCUAUAUGUUUUUUCUCUUUAGUUAAGCACACUUUAUUUUUCUUAGCAUGCUUGUUUUUCUUAGCAUGCUUCCAGUUUGUAUUUUCUUUUUUAAUGAAGACAUAUACAUGAAGCAUAUAUUUCUUCCAUAUUAUUGAUUUCUUUGUGUCUUUGAACAACAGAUAGAUACAAUCUUUGGCUCUCUUUCAGAGCACUGCGACUUAAGCUGAGGCUAUAGUAUAUCAUCUGAUUUCUACUACCAUAUAUAUACAAGACACAUAUGAACUCAUCUUUCUGCCCAUGUAUUGUCAAAAAGAGCAUUCCAUUUUAUUAAUUGGUGUUUGAAUACUGGAUUCUGAGGUCUGACAAAUAUGGGAUUGAAUUCUGGCACUAUUAUGUAAUAGCUGUGUGACACUGGUAAGUUACUUAAAGAAGGAAAGAUGACAGUACACUCUCCCUCCAAAUAUAAACAAACAA